ACUCCUACGGGAGGCAGCAGUAGGGAAUUUUCCGCAAUGGACGAAAGUCUGACGGAGCAAUGCCGCGUGAGUGAUGAAGGUUUUCGAAUCGUAAAGCUCUGUUGUAAGGGAAGAAUAGCAAGAAUAGGAAAUGAUUCUUGUCUGACGGUACCUUACCAGAAAGCCACGGCUAACUACGUGCCAGCAGCCGCGGUAAUACGUAGGUGGCAAGCGUUAUCCGGAAUUAUUGGGCGUAAAGCGCAUGUAGGCGGGAGGCUAAGUCAGAUGUGAAAGCCCUGGGCUCAAGCCU
rnacentral:rRNA from 1 species